UUCCCCACAGAGCCAGGGGGUGGAAGAGGGGCCUUUUGAUGACAGUGAGGCCCAGGAGAUAAGAAAUCUCACUGCUGUUCUCGAAAUCACUUUCUCUGCCAGGUUUAAGGCCUGCAGGUGCAUGGAAGGGCCCUGGCAGCCCCUCCUCAAAGCACACCAGUGCUGAUGUGGGGGCCUUGAUGUCAGGGCUCCUGCGGAGAUCAUGGGGCAGGCGCCCACCUGCCAUGGCAGAUGAGGCUCAGGCACCAGUGACUCCCACCAGCAGGUGCUCCUGUCCUUAGCUCAGUGGUCCAGGGAGCAGGGAAGCCCAUGAGCACUGACAGAGGCCACCCGCCCCAGGGAACCAGCAGCUGGGGUCUGAGUGCUUCUCUCAGAGGCCUGCUCCGGGAACAUAGCAGGGAAGGCUGUCCCUGUCACGGGUCCUUGGUGCCUUGGAGCUGGCUGGACCCUCACAGUCAGGGUCGUGUCCCCUGCAGAACACAGUUCCACAAGCCACUGACCCAGGCCACUGUCACUGAGACAAAUCCACACGCACACCACAGGGCGCCGGUUCCCCUCACCCAACCCCAGCUCUGCCUCCCAUCUCACUCCUGCUGUCUUCCAGACAGGACUCGCUGCGACACGGUCACAGAGUCACCCAUGCCACCUGGCCCAGGACGACCGCCCCAAGCAUAACAGAUGGUGCCAGCCUUCGCACUGGGUCAGGUCAGUGCCAACACCAACACCAUUUGCUUCUCAGCUGUCUGGAGGACACAAGCAUCAGGACGAGCCGCCAGCCUGCCCUGCCACUUCGGCUACUCACAGGAGGGCCUGGGAGGCCCGGGAAUCCAUCGAGUCCGUCGCGCCCAGGGACACCGUCGUCGCCUUUCAUUCCAUGCACACCUGGGACACCGGGUUGUCCUCUCUCACCUGGGAAGGAAUUCGCAAGUGAAUCUCCUGAUGCAUCCACUGGAGAGCCAAGUGGCCCAAGCUGCCCGGCCACAGGAACUGACCUUUAGUGGUUAUUGUUCUGGAAUCCCCUUUAAUUCCCUUGGGCCCAGGAACACCAGCGAUGCCAGAGACUCCCUGUGGAGACAAAGGGACAAGCGUUUCUCCCUUUAGGCUGCUUGGGACACCUACGGAGAGAAUGCUGAGUAGCUCACACAACCCACGGGCAGUUGCCUGUCCCCAAGCCCAGUGCUGCUCAGAGAAGCCCUGAAGUGCCAGAAAUGCUCUGUUGGGCUAUCUGGCAAGUGACCACCUGCCACAGUGCCCAUCAAGCCCUGUCACUAAAAAUGGACAGUAGGACUGAGGAAUUGAAUUUAGAUAUUUUUAAAAAUUUUAAUUAAAAUGUAAUGGAAGUGCCCCAGGUAGUUGGACGGUGGAAACCUAGACUCGCUACUCAGGGUGCCAUCCCCAGACCAGUGUGCUCAGCAUCUCUGGUGAGAGAUACUGAUGCUUAGCCCCACCUCCCUGAGGCAGCCAGAGGGUGACCUGCUUCUUAAAUAGGAUUCCUGGACCCAGUGCCUUUGAGAAGCAUUGACCUAAAACAGGAGGCUGCCGAACUCUUACCUACAGGUUUGGAUCCCGGCAGGUUAUGAACUUCUAAGUACAAUGCUUAGAAACUCGGAUCAUUUACCAUUGUGAGCAAUCAAUGUAUUUAAUUCAUGGUUUCUUUUGCAAAAUGAAGUUUAGGUUGAGGGAAAAAUAGGGCUUAGAGAGAAGUUGGUUACAGGGACACUCGAGUUCAGGUCGUAAGAUCUCAGGCGGCUUUUUCAAUGGGCAGAAGUGAGUGGGGAUUGUAUUUUAAUGUGUGUUAUGUUAGUUUUAGGGCAUAUCUUAGUUGAUGCUAUUUCCAGGAAUUUAGGACCUCUGAACUGAGUGGAGAGUGGCCACACAGCUGCUAGAGCAGAAUGAGUGUUGGUUUAAAGAAAUAGUCAGUUACAAGAGACUGUGGGCUCCUUUCUCCUGGCAAAGUCCACAGAUACUAGAUUUAUUGAUGACUUGGCUCUCUGCAGAAGAGGGCAACAUUCUUCCAGCAUCCAGGACAGUGUCCCACACAGACUUGCUCAGUAAAUACGUUGUGUCAAUGGACAGGAGGAAGAAUGUAUUUACUGGCCGACUCCUAAGCCUCAAGGCCUCUGCCAGACUCUGUCAGUACAAGUGUCAAAAACAAACCAUAAUUACAAGAACUCAUCUCAGCCAUCCCACUGCAGGGGGCUGCUGAACCUGAGCAUAUGACCAAACGCAAGACAACGGGCACAACAGGAACAUGCUCUUUGUGCUCAGCACGGCCUUUCCCAGGCCUGUCCACACUGCAGCACGAAUCAGUGGUGGUCCUGAUUUAUAGCGGAUCCGAUUCCUUUGUAUGGAGAGCCCAAGUUUGGUUCACCUGUUCACCGGAGGAUGGACAGGUUAUUGUCUCUUUGUUUUGACUCGUAUGAGUAAUGUCCCUGUGCACAUUGGUGCACACAUAUUUUCAUGGACGUGGGUGUUGGAUUCUUUUGGGUUUCUCCUGGGAGUGAAUUUCUGGCCUUGGUGGUGACCCCUGUCUAACUUUUUGAGGUGUGAGACCUUCUUCCACAGUGGCUGUACCAGGUCACACUCCCAGUGGUAAAAGCUUUUGAGGUUCA